CCUACGGGCGGCUGCAGUGGGGAAUAUUGGACAAUGGGCGAAAGCCUGAUCCAGCAAUACCGCGUGUGUGAAGAAGGCCUGAGGGUUGUAAAGCACUUUCAAUGGGAAGGAAUACCUAUCGGUUAAUACCCGAUAGACUGACAUUACCCAUACAAGAAGCACCGGCUAACUCCGUGCCAGCAGCCGCGGUAAUACGGAGGGUGCAAGCGUUAAUCGGAAUUACUGGGCGUAAAGCGUGCGUAGGCGGUGAUUUAAGGCAGAUGUGAAAGCCCCGGGCUUAACCUGGGAACUGCAUUUGAUACUGGGUCACUAGAGUUGAGUAGAGGAGAGUGGAAUUUCAGGUGUAGCGGUGAAAUGCGUAGAGAUCUGAAGGAACACCAGUGGCGAAGGCGGCUCUCUGGACUCAAACUGACGCUGAGGUACGAAAGCGUGGGUAGCAAACAGGAUUAGAUACCCUUGUAGUC
rnacentral:rRNA from 1 species